AGCAGUCGCCGCGGGAAUACGGAGGGUGCAAGCGUUAAUCGGAAUUACUGGGCGUAAAGCGCACGCAGGCGGUUUGUUAAGUCAGAUGUGAAAUCCCCGGGCUUAACCUGGGAACUGCAUUUGAAACUGUCAGGCUGGAGUCUUGUAGAGGGGGGUAGAAUUCCAGGUGUAGCGGUGAAAUGCGUAGAGAUCUGGAGGAAUACCGGUGGCGAAGGCGGCCCCCUGGACAAAGACUGACGCUCAGGUGCGAAAGCGUGGGGAGCAAACAGGAUUAGAUACCCCAGUAGUCCCUGUCUCUUAUAC
rnacentral:rRNA from 1 species